rnacentral:rRNA from 1 species
CCUACGGGUGGCAGCAGUAGGGAAUAUUGCUCAAUGGGGGAAACUCUGAAGCAGCAACGCCGCGUGGAGGAUGAAGGUUUUAGGAUUGUUAACUCCUUUUGUGAGAGAAGUUAAUGACGGUACCUCACGAAUAAGCACAGGCUAACUCCGUGCCAGCAGCCGCGGUAAUACGGAGGGUGCAAGCGUUACUCGGAAUCACUGGGCGUAAAGAGUGCGCAGGCGGGCUUUUAAGUCAGAUGUGAAAUCCUGUAGCUUAACUACAGAACUGCAUUUGAAACUAUGGGUCUAGAGUGUAGGUGAGGUAGGUGGAAUGCUUGGUGUAGCGGUAAAAUCCGUAGAUAUC